AUCACCCUGCUUUGUGCGUGAAAUACCUGAAGUUUUGAGCCAACAGAUGUUGAAAAGGGAGCUUACUUUCUUGCAAGGGAAUGUAGACCUUACUUGUAUAAGGAAACAGGAAGCUGCAGAAGGGCACCCACCUGUGUGAGAGCAGGUUCAACAAACUUUGGGUACGGACACGGCACGGUGGGGUUUUC
rnacentral:other from 1 species